rnacentral:rRNA from 1 species
AUUGAACGCUGGCGGCAGGCUUAACACAUGCAAGUCGAGCGGGGUGAUGGUGCUUGCACUAUCACUUAGCGGCGGACGGGUGAGUAAUGCUUAGGAAUCCGCCUAUUAGAGGGGGACAACAUCUCGAAAGGGAUGCUAAUACCGCAUACGUCCUACGGGAGAAAGCAGGGGAUCACUUGUGACCUUGCGCUAAUAGAUGAGCCUAAGUCGGAUUAGCUAGUUGGUGGGGUAAAGGCCUACCAAGGCGACGAUCUGUAGCGGGUCUGAGAGGAUGAUCCGCCACACGGGGACUGAGACACGGCCCAGACUCCGACGGGAGGCAGCAGUGGGGAAUAUUGGACAAUGGGGGGAACCCUGAUCCAGCCAUGCCGCGUGUGUGAAGAAGGCCUUAUGGUUGUAAAGCACUUUAAGCGAGGAGGAGGCUCUUUUGGUUAAUACCCAAGAUGAGUGGACGUUACUCGCAGAAUAAGCACCGGCUAACUCUGUGCCAGCAGCCGCAGUAA